rnacentral:rRNA from 1 species
UAGGGAAUAUUGGUCAAUGGGUGAGAGCCUGAACCAGCCAUGCCGCGUGCAGGAAGAAUGCGUUCUGCGUUGUAAACUGCUUUUGAUCGGGAAGAAAGGGUCUUUGCGAAGGCCGUUGACGGUACCGAUAGAAUAAGCACCGGCUAACUCCGUGCCAGCAGCCGCGGUAAUACGGAGGGUGCAAGCGUUGUCCGGAUUUAUUGGGUUUAAAGGGUGCGUAGGCGGAUUGGUAAGUCAGUGGUGAAAGGCAGCGGCUCAACCGUUGAGUUGCCAUUGAUACUGUCAGUCUUGAGUGCACUAAAGGUAAGCGGAAUUUAUGGUGUAGCGGUGAAAUGCAUAGAUACCAUAAAGAACACCAAUAGCGAAGGCAGCUUACUGGAGUGUAACUGACGCUGAGGCACGAAAGCGUGGGGAGCGAACAGGAUUAGAUACCCCCGUAGUCC